rnacentral:rRNA from 1 species
GUGAACGCUGGCGGUAGGCCUAACACAUGCCAGUCGAACGGCAGCACAGUAAGAGCUUGCUCUUACGGGUGGCGAGUGGCGGACGGGUGAGGAAUACAUCGGAAUCUACUUUUUCGUGGGGGAUAACGUAGGGAAACUUACGCUAAUACCGCAUACGACCUACGGGUGAAAGCAGGGGAUCUUCGGACCUUGCGCGAUUGAAUGAGCCGAUGUCGGAUUAGCUAGUUGGCGGGGUAAAGGCCCACCAAGGCGACGAUCCGUAGCUGGUCUGAGAGGAUGAUCGGCCACACUGGAACUGAGACACGGUCCAGACUCCUACGGGAGGCAGCAGUGGGGAAUAUUGGACAAUGGGCGCAAGCCUGAUCCAGCCAUACCGCGUGGGUGAAGAAGGCCUUCGGGUUGUAAAGCCCUUUUGUUGGGAAAGAACAGCAGCAGGUUAAUACGCCGCUGUUCUGACGGUACCCAAAGAAUAAGCACCGGCUAACUUCGUG